GACGAACGCUGGCGGCGUGCUUAACACAUGCAAGUCGAACGGAUAGGCCCUUCGGGGUACUCGAGUGGCGAACGGGUGAGUAACACGUGGGCAAUCUGCCCCGAUGACCGGGACAACCCGGGGAAACUCGGGCUAAUACCGGAUGUGCUCUCUUUUCAUAAGAGAAGCGAGUAAAGGUAGCUUCGGCCAUCCGCAUCGGGAGGAGCCCGCGGUCCAUUAGCUUGUUGGUGAGGUAACGGCACACCAAGGCCGCGAUGGAUAGCUGGUCUGAGAGGACGAUCAGCCACACUGGGACUGAGACACGGCCCAGACUCCUACGGGAGGCAGCAGUGGGGAAUCUUGCACAAUGGGCGAAAGCCUGAUGCAGCAAUGCCGCGUGAGGGAAGACGGCCUUCGGGUUGUAAACCUCUUUCAGCAGGGACGAAGCCCGCAAGGGUGACGGUACCUGCAGAAGAAGCACCGGCCAACUACGUGCCAGCAGCCGCCGUAAGAC
rnacentral:rRNA from 1 species